GAGAUUAAACCCUGCCUCUGAAUUUCCCUAAACUGGAUAGUAAGGAAAGUCAGCUCUGCCAUGUAUCAGGUGAAAGCUGGGACCAAACACCGCUCCUUGGACAGAAAGUGUUAUCAGCCACUUGGCUCUUCCUUCUGAUGCAGCUUUCAGGGAUCCAGGCUUUCAUCUUAAGCCCAACAUCCAGACUUUGGUACCCAUUCUGAAGUGUUGGGGCUCCUGCUUGUACUCCUUGCCACAUUUGCCUGGAGCUGCUGGUUGUACUGGAGAAAACUCAAGGAUCCAGGAGUAUCAGUGGGAAGAGGGAAGAUCUUGCAGAGAUCAGUGCUAUAAAGAGCAAUAAAGC